CACGUAGGGACCAAGCGUUGUCCGGAUUCAUUGGGCGUAAAGAGCUCGUAGGCGGUUCGGUAAGUCGGGUGUGAAACCUCCAGGCUCAACCUGGAGACGCCACCCGAUACUGUCGUGACUAGAGUCCAGUAGGGGAGCGUGGAAUUCCUGGUGUAGCGGUGAAAUGCGCAGAUAUCAGGAGGAACACCAGCGGCGAAGGCGGCGCUCUGGGCUGGAACUGACGCUGAGGAGCGAAAGCGUGGGGAGCAAACAGG
rnacentral:rRNA from 1 species